GGACGAACGCUGGCGGCGUGCUUAACACAUGCAAGUCGAGCGGUAAGGCCUUUCGGGGUACACGAGCGGCGAACGGGUGAGUAACACGUGGGUGAUCUGCCCUGCACUCUGGGAUAAGCCUGGGAAACUGGGUCUAAUACCGGAUAUGACCUGCUCUCGCAUGGGGGUGGGUGGAAAGAUUUAUCGGUGCAGGAUGGGCCCGCGGCCUAUCAGCUUGUUGGUGGGGUAAUGGCCUACCAAGGCGACGACGGGUAGCCGACCUGAGAGGGUGACCGGCCACACUGGGACUGAGACACGGCCCAGACUCCUACGGGAGGCAGCAGUGGGGAAUAUUGCACAAUGGGCGAAAGCCUGAUGCAGCGACGCCGCGUGAGGGAUGAAGGCCUUCGGGUUGUAAACCUCUUUCAGCAGGGACGAAGCGCAAGUGACGGUACCUGCAGAAGAAGCACCGGCUAACUACGUGCCAGCAGCCGCGGUAAUACGUAGGGUGCGAGCGUUGUCCGGAAUUACUGGGCGUAAAGAGUUCGUAGGCGGUUUGUCGCGUCGUUUGUGAAAACCCGGGGCUCAACUUCGGGCUUGCAGGCGAUACGGGCAGACUUGAGUGUUUCAGGGGAGACUGGAAUUCCUGGUGUAGCGGUGAAAUGCGCAGAUAUCAGGAGGAACACCGGUGGCGAAGGCGGGUCUCUGGGAAACAACUGACGCUGAGGAACGAAAGCGUGGGUAGCAAACAGGAUUAGAUACCCUGGUAGUCCACGCCGUAAACGGUGGGCGCUAGGUGUGGGUUCCUUCCACGGAAUCUGUGCCGUAGCUAACGCAUUAAGCGCCCCGC
rnacentral:rRNA from 1 species